rnacentral:ncRNA from 12 species
GGGUGGGGAGGCAUGGUGCCGCCCCCAGGGUUCCCAAUCGGGUGGUCGGGCCGCCAUCC